rnacentral:rRNA from 1 species
AGCGCAGCGAAAUGCGAUACGUAGUGUGAAUUGCAGAAUUCAGUGAAUCAUCGAAUCUUUGAACGCACAUUGCGCCCUUUGGUAUUCCAAAGGGCAUGCCUGUUCGAGCGUCAUUUGUACCCUCAAGCUUUGCUUGGUGUUGGGCGUCUUUUGUCUCCAGUUCGCUGGAGACUCGCCUUAAAGUCAUUGGCAGCCGGCCUACUGGUUUCGGAGCGCAGCACAAGUCGCGCUCUUUGCCAGCCAAGGUCAGCGUCCAGCAAGCCUUUUUUUCAACCUUUGACCUCGGAUCAGGUAGGGAUACCCGCUGAACUUAAG